GGUCGAUUAGUCUAGAGGUUAUGAUAUUCGCUUUACACGCGAAGGGUCCCCGGUUCGAUCCCGGGAUCGACCA